rnacentral:rRNA from 1 species
AGAGUUUGAUCAUGGCUCAGAACGAACGCUGGCGGCAGGCUUAACACAUGCAAGUCGAACGCACCGCAAGGUGAGUGGCAGACGGGUGAGUAACGCGUGGGAACCUCCCCUAUGGUACGGAAUAACUUCGGGAAACCGAAGCUAAUACCGUAUGUUUCCUUCGGGACAAAGAUUUAUCGCCAUAGGAUGGGCCCGCGUUG